rnacentral:rRNA from 1 species
CCUACGGGAGGCAGCAGUGGGGAAUUUUUGGCAAUGGGCGAAAGCCUGACCAAGCAACGCCGCGUGGGUGAUGAAGUAUCUUGGUACGUAAAACCCUUUCGGCAGGGACGAACCUAAUGACGGUACCUGCGGAAGAAGCCCCGGCUAACUCCGUGCCAGCAGCCGCGGUAAUACUGGGGGGGCAAGCGUUGUUCGGAAUUACUGGGCGUAAAGGGCGCGUAGGCGGUUGGAUAAGUCAGCUGUGAAAACCACGGGCUUAACUCGUGGCCUGCAGUUGAGACUGUCUGGCUUGAGUGUGGGGAGGAGAGUGGAAUUCCUGGUGUAGCGGUGAAAUGCGUAGAUAUCAGGAGGAACACCGGUGGCGAAGGCGGCUCUCUGGACCACAACUGACGCUGAGGCGCGAAAGCUAGGGGAGCAAACAGGAUUAGAUACCCCGGUANUC